rnacentral:rRNA from 1 species
UACAGAGGGGGCCAGCGUUAUUCGGAAUUAUUGGGCGUAAAGGGCGCGUAGGCGGCCAUGCGUGUCUCCCGUGAAAUCCCUCGGCUCGACCGAGGACGUGCGGAAGAAACUGCAAGGCUCGAGUCCGGAAGAGGGGGGCGGAAUUCCCAGUGUAGCGGUGAAAUGCGUAGAUAUUGGGAGGAACACCAGUGGCGAAGGCGGUCCCCUGGGCCGGAACUGACGCUGAGGCGCGAAAGCGUGGGGAGCGAACAGG